UCGAGUCUAAUCUGGCCAUCUUCCUGGCUGUGCAUUCGCUUGCACGCCGGUAGGGGCGGGUCGGCUCUUUGACUUUUUCACACCUGUGCACCUCGGAUCGUCCCCAAACCCUCGGGUGCGGGGCGGACCGUUUUUUUUUUUUACACCUUUUCUGUAUGUCCAUGAAUGUAUCUUCGAACGCUCUGUGAUGGAGCGGUCGGUUAAAGUAAAUA
rnacentral:misc_RNA from 1 species